rnacentral:tRNA from 1 species
ACUAUAUAGUUUAAUUAAUAAAACAUUAAUCUUGUAAAUUAAAAAUAAAUUAUAAUAUCAUUUUAUAGUAU